UACGUAGGUGGCAAGCGUUAUCCGGAUUUAUUGGGCGUAAAGGGAACGCAGGCGGUCUUUUAAGUCUGAUGUGAUAGCCUUCGGCUUAACCGGAGUAGUGCAUUGGAAACUGGGAGACUUGAGUGCAGAAGAGGAGAGUGGAACUCCAUGUGUAGCGGUGAAAUGCGUAGAUAUAUGGAAGAACACCAGUGGCGAAAGCGGCUCUCUGGUCUGUAACUGACGCUGAGGUUCGAAAGCGUGGGUAGCAAACAGG
rnacentral:rRNA from 1 species